CUUCUUUAUCAUUCACUUCUAAACUUUCUAAUUUAACAAAGACUAUCACUCCCUACUACUAUCAACUUUCAAACACUUCAUUAUAGAGAUGGUUUCUUCAAAUGAUUUCAACAUGUUAAUUCUAAUUCCUCUUCUUGUUAGCUCCCUAAUGGUAAUGAAUGCCUUUGCUGCUGGUAACUUGAACCAACACUUUGAUAUAACAUGGGGAGAUGGCCGAGCGAAGAUACUAAACAAUGGUGAGUUACUCACUCUAUCACUUGACAAAGCAUCUGGUUCAGGAUUCCAAUCAAAGAAUGAGUAUCUCUUUUGGGAAGAUUGAUAUGCAACUCAAACUUGUCCCUGGAAACUCUGCUGGCACUGUCACUGCAUAUUACCUAUCUUCAAAAGGACCAACUUGGGAUGAGAUAGACUAUGAAUUUCUAGGAAAUGUAAGUGGUGAACCAUACAUCCUUCACACUAAUGUUUUCAGUCAAGGCAAAGGAAACAGGGAACAACAAUUCUAUCUAUGGUUUGACCCAGCAGCUGAUUUUCACACUUAUUCUAUCAUAUGGAACCCCCAGAGGAUUAUAUUCUCAGUUGAUGGCACUCCCAUUAGAGAGUUCAAGAACUCAGAGACUAUUGGUGUGCCCUUCCCAAAGAACCAACCAAUGAGAAUAUAUUCAAGUUUGUGGAAUGCAGAUAACUGGGCAACAAGAGGUGGACUAGUCAAGACAGAUUGGACAAAGGCUCCAUUCACAGCUUCCUACAGAAAUUUUAAUGCUCAGGCUUGCAUCUGGUCUUCAGGAGCAUCAUCCUGUGGUUCAACUAGUUCUGCAUCAAAGGACUCUGCCAGAGGUUCAUGGCUUUCACAGGAGUUGGAUGCUACUGGUCAAGGGAGGUUGAAAUGGGUGCAGAAGAAUUACAUGAUAUACAAUUACUGCAAAGAUACAAAACGAUUUCCACAGGGUUUACCUCCAGAGUGCAACCACUCGUAAAGAGAAAACUGUGCAACCCCUCUGUAAUAUUUCCCCAUUAUCACUGCAAUUCUAGCAUUAGUUUGUAGCUUAGUAUGAUUCUUUCAUUCGUUUUGAUCUCUGUCAUCACGCUAGGAAACAUUUGUAGCCAUUCAUCAAAUGUGUAACAUCUUUUUUAUAAUAAAAACAGGUUCUUUUCUUACUACCA